GCCAGGUGUUUUGGUGCAUGCCUGUAAUCCCAGCAUCUUGGGAGGCUGAGGCAGGGGGAUCGUGAGUUCAAGGUCAGUCUCAGCAACUUAGUGGGGCCCUGAGCAACUCAGUGAGACCCUGUCUCUA
rnacentral:sRNA from 1 species